AUUAAAGAGUUGGGGAGCUUAUGCAUUUAGGCUGAGAGGAAGUAAAUCGCUGCUUCGACCCAUGUACCUGAUACGGAUAAUGCCGGCGUAGGGAAUUUAUGUCAAACUGCU
rnacentral:ncRNA from 1 species